rnacentral:rRNA from 1 species
GAAAAAUUUUAGGUAGAUCUCACAAGUGACUAUGCUGAUAUGAGUAACGAAAAAUCAUGUGAAAUACAUGAUCACCGAAACUUCAAGGUUUUCUGUGAAAAGUAAAUCUGCACAGAGUUAAACGGCCCCUAAGAGAACCCCGAAAGGGCUCCUCGAUGGGAAAG